ensembl:lncRNA novel transcript
GAGCCAGGAAGGAGCCUCUGCAGAAACGGAACCAGCGGGAACCUUGACCUGAGACUUGCAGCCUCCAGAACUGGGAGAAAAUAGAUUUCUGUUGUUUCAAGCCCCCGAGCCUGUGGUAUUUUGUCCCAGCAGCCUGAGCAGGCUGAAAUGGUCCCAAGUUCUUGUCCCACAUCCAGAAGAAUAAGGUUAUGCAGACAACCAGAGAGUGAGCAGGGCAGAAAAAAACUUCUAUUGCAUGAUGGAACAGCUCCCAGCGUUGAGGGGACCUGAGAGUGGGCAGCCACUACCUGAAGCAUCAUUAUAAACUGCUGAUCUACUGUUUCUUUGUCAAACGGGAGGAGAUAACAUGAGGGUCAUGAGAAAUGUUUGCAGACGGAGUGAAUGCCUUGAAAGUGCUGCGACCAGGUGCUGACACCCGGAGGUCUGGCUGCUCAAAGUGUUAGCUGACACGGAAGACACACGGACUUUCCCUCCAUUCCCCAAAACUCCCCUUCCCUGACUCGUCAGCUGCAUAAAAACCCUCUCCUUAUCUCUUUGUCAAGGGGAUUUGAGAAAUCUUGCUGUCUUGUCUUCUUGCUUUGGCCAAAUGGAAUAAACCUUUCUCUGUCUCCAGACACCUAUGUCGCAGUGUUCGGCCUCAGCUAUACGGCAGGUACAUGAACCUGGUAUUUGGGCUUCUACAACAAUUGUACUUAUAGCACAAAUAAAGUACAAAGUGUUAGGGAAGACCAAAGACCAUAGGUAGAAAACUUGGAUACAACUUCCAAAUAAACACUCUUCAAAACAUUUAA